GGCUAAAGGGCUCCCAGUAAUGGAAACUGGAGGUCGCCGAUUUAUGGCUCUUCCUCUGGACUCUCCGGGCCAUUUGUUUGGUGGUGGAGACAUGUCCCUGGGAAAGAAAGCAUCUGCUUCCCCACAAAUGUCAUCAGUAAAAGAGAGGGGUAAGCCAUGUGACCCAGGAAUUGGAGUGUGUCCAUAUCAGAUCCGCAUUUCAGUUGGAAAAACAGUAACACCUGGGAAGACUCCAGAAGUGCUGAGAUCAAGAGUUGCUUCGUCCUAAAAAGAACUACUCAAGACAAAAGGUAAGCUGUCAAAGGUUUCACCUACCUGAAGAGAAUGCCAGGUGGGAUCAGAGUAGAAACUAUGAAGUAUAAUAUAUAUGCAAAGAACGGAGUGUAUGACUUUAAAUUAAGGACUUCCUUGCUCAACGUUAUCGCUGCUUCCUGGCCUACUGGUUGCUGCUCGUGACUCUUCUCAGGUUACCCUUAGUCCUUCUGCUUAGAUGCCCCUUCCUGGCCCUCCAUCCCCCUGGCCCUGAGCCCUAGGUCCAGUUCAAAGGCAACCCUCUCCCUGAGGCUGUUCUGAAUUCCCCCUCGUCUUCCCCUCUGAACUCCCACAGCUUGGCGCCCAGCGUCUCCCAGACAGACCUUCCCUCUUUACUGAGCUGCUGCACUUCUCGUAAUACGGGGAAAGUGUCCAAGGUCAGGAUCCUAUUGUCUACGUGGGCCUGGCCGGGUGGCUUGAGUCUAGUGUGGCCACAGAGCCUGAGGGCUUGCCUGGGGCCGGUGUGGCUGGGCCUCCACCCCAGGCUCCCCUACUUGCCAGCUGUGUGACUCUGGAUGAGCCAUCUUGGUUCAAGUCUCGGUUUCUGCAACGGUAAAAUGGGGACAAUAAAUAGCCCACACCACAGGGCGGGUGGGAGGCCCAGAUAACGCCGAAGCCGGGCAGGGAAGAAGCCUUCCCACGUCAGGGGCUGUGAGCAUCAUCAUUGCUGUCCUGAGACUGCAACGCUGCCUUCUGGGGGAGUGACCAGGCAUGCAGUCGCUCAUGUCCCCGGGGGAGGGAGGGAGGCCCAGGGCCCCGGGCAGGAGCUCCCUGGAACUAGUGGUGCAGCGCAUCUGCGGCUGCCAGGAGCGUGCGCAGGGCGUGCGCCGGGGCCCUGCCAGGGGAGUGUCAUGGUUGGGCGUGGAGCGGGCAGGGGGCAGGAAGAAGGAAGGUGCCAAAAUUGACUUUGAUUUCUCUACUCAUACCUCCUCCACUGCCACUCCCCAAAACUAGGGACCUUCGGUCUUGGACAGUGUCGGAAAACCAAGAACCACCAGAAAGACGCUGCCGGACACGUGCUCCAUCAGAAGAAGGAAAGGGGAGCGUUGUCCACGACAGCAGAUCCCGGCAGCGUGUUCCUGGGGGAGCCCCA